rnacentral:lncRNA from 1 species
UCUAUUAAACCAAAAAUACUUUGAAGUAAAAAAAUAAAAAAAGAGAUGAUGGAUGAGAGCAUGAAGUGGAAAUGAUAUUAUUACUAUUAGUGUGGAGCGAGGGAAGAAAAAGUAGGAACUCAAAUUUUAGGGAGAUUUGUUUGGUGCCUGGAACAUGAAUUGAGGCUGACAAACUCUAUCAUAUUUAUGAACGUUAUUUUUUUUAGCACGUCAUAUUAAU